UUCGUUUCACGCAUGCCACAAUGGCCGGUACAAAGGGUCGCGAUCCUCUGAGGUGGAGCUAAUCCCAAAAACCCGCUCUCAGUUCGGAUUGAGGUCUGCAACUCGACCUCAUGAAGUCGGAGUCGCUAGUAAUCGCAGAUCAGCAACGCUGCGGUGAAUACGUUCCCGGGCCUUGUACACACCGCCCGUCAAGUCACGAAAGUUGGUAACACCCGAAGCCGGUGGCCUAACCCCUUGUGGGAGGGUAGGCACG
rnacentral:rRNA from 1 species